rnacentral:rRNA from 1 species
UGCAGAAUCCCGUGAACCAUCGAGUCUUUGAACGCAAGUUGCGCCCGAGGCCAUUAGGUUGAGGGCACGUCUGCCUGGGCGUCACAC